CUCCCACCAUUUAGAUCUCUAAAGUUCACAUCUGGGUAUUUAUUGAACAGUCUUCUAGCUUAUUCCACAGCUUCUCAGAAAGGAAAGCACCACACAAGCACUAUUUUUAUACAGGUUUGGAGCUGUAUCUGCAAUAACCCCAGAUGUCUCUAUCUCUUCCUGCUCUACUGCACCAAACUAGAUACUGUCAGCAAGAAGCAACUCCUUGACCUGGUGAAUCCACCCAAGCAACACAGAGUCAAACAUCAGCAGAGAGAUGGUGAAUCCAGAAAAAACAUGUGAGACUGUUGCAGUGCAGGAAAGCCCACAGACCCCCCCCUGUUGCCUUGGUCAAAUAAUAACUGGACAGCUUCAGCUCAGCCUCCUAGCUUCUUCUGGAGGCUCUUGGCUGCCAGUCUUGUGGGAAGCAGGGGAGUUUCCUAUGUAUCUUGAAGUCCUUUCCAUGUGGAAAGGCCUUUUCUGACUUAAGAAUAUUUGUCAGCUAUUUGGGAACUUUAUAUUAUUUCUGGAAAUAAAGACAAAGAUGCUAAUUUAUUAAGAAAAGAAGGGCACAGGGUAUCCUGCAUAAAGUCUCCAGCCUGAAGCUGAUGCCACUGUACUUGAAGUGCCAGCAUUUUUUUUUGUGGAAAACUUGAUCCAUGUCUGCUCCAAGAAGAAAUUGCCCAGAAGAUUAAAAUAAUGACACUGAAGUCACCAGUUGUAAUCAUCUGAAUCCCUUAUGCCUCAGGAAUUGCUGAGCUUACACAUAUAUAAGCCGACAUCCUUCUUUGAUUCAUUCAAACUACUCUUCAGAAUUCCUUUGCUUUGUUGCAACUGACUAGAACAUUAAAAAGAGAGCUACUUUGAAGGACCAAUAAGAUGUGUGUGUGUAUUCUGGUACAUGUGCCAAAACUUUGGUCCUUAUCUGUAAAUAGUGAAAGGCACCUUUUUCACUGGGGGCAGAUGCUUAAGUGCCAUUGAGAAACAGAGCUUUACUGGGAAAUUAUGUAAACUUAUUUUUUAUUUUUUUUUUAUCCUUUCUUUUUAUGAUCCAUUUAAUUCAGACUGUAAACAUUUUGUGGAAGGAAGUAACCUUUACUGUUUAAGCAUACUGGCUGCUUAAUACAUGACCAAUUGCCAUAAAUAAAUAAUCAGUCCAGUUCA